UAGUCCACGCCGUAAACGAUGGAUACUAGGUGUCCGGGAUAUUAACCUCCUGGGUACUACAGUUAACGCGUUAAGUAUCCCGCCUGGGGAGUACGGUCGCAAGGCUAAAACUCAAAGGAAUUGACGGGGGCCCGCACAAGCGGUGGAGUAUGUGGUUUAAUUCGAAGCAACGCGCAGAACCUUACCUACCCUUAACAUUUCACGACGUAUACAGAGAUGUAUAUUUCUCUUCGGAGACGUGAGGAUAGGUGCUGCAUGGCUGUCGUCAGCUCGUGUCGUAAGAUGUCUGGUUAAGUCCAAUAACGAGCGCAACCCUUAUCUUUAGUUGCCAUCAUUAAGUUGGGCACUUUAAAGAGACUGCCGGUGACAAACCGGAGGAAGGUAAGGAUGACGUCAAGUCAGCAUGCCCCUUAUGCUCUGGGCUACACACGUGCUACAAUGGCCGUGACAAAGAGUUGCUACUUUGUGAAAACAAGCUAAUCUCAUAAACGCGGCCUCAGUUCGGAUUGCAGGCUGAAACU
rnacentral:rRNA from 1 species